rnacentral:tRNA from 1 species
CGGGACGUAGCGCAGCCUGGCUAGCGUGUCUGGUUCGGGUCCAGAAGGUCGGAGGUUCAAAUCCUCUCGUCCCGACCA